rnacentral:rRNA from 1 species
AGCAGCCGCGGUAAUUCCAGCUCCAAUAGCGUAUAUUAAAGUUGUUGCAGUUAAAAAGCUCGUAGUUGAAUUUCGGGACUAAUAUGUCGGUCGUACUUUGUACGUACUAGCACUAUUGGUUUCUCCCUUCUGACGAACCACGAUGUCAUUAAUUUGGUGUCAUGGGAAAUCAGGACUGUUACUUUGAAAAAAUUGAGUGUUUAAGGCAAGCUCGCGCUUGAAUACAUUAGCAUGGAAUAAUGAAAUAGGACGUUUGAUUCUAUUUUGUUGGUUUCUAGGAUCGACGUAAUGAUUAAUAGGGAUAGUUGGGGGCAUUAGUAUUCAAUUGUCAGAGGUGAAAUUCUUGGAUUUAUUGAAGACUAACUACUGCGAAAGCAUUUGCCAAGGAUGUUUUCAUUAAUCAAGAACGAAAGUUAGGGGAUCGAAGACGAUCAGAUACCGUCGUAGUCUUAACCAUAAACUAUGCCGACUAGGGAUCGGAUGAUGUAAUUUUUAAUGUACUCAUUCGGCGCCUUACGGG